GGACGAGAGGGGCGAUGUAGGAGAGGAAGCGUGCGGCGGAGCUGAGGUCGGGCGGCCGCGUGAGGCAGAGGACGGGGCGGCGGAGGAAAGGGGCGGUACCGGAACGGAGCGGAGCGGCGGUUGGGGCGGCCACAAGGUAUUUAGCUGAUACGGCGGAGGCACGGGGCCGCGUCUAGUUCGAUGCUCGACGACCUACACUACGCCCUCGCCCGUAGAGCCUCGCCUGGCUCUAGGUGACGCACAUGCACCCCUCCUGCGAAGCUGGAUCUCGAGGUACCGCAGGGUGUUGGCGCUCGUGGAGUCCGAGUCAGCCGCGGUCUACCUCGCCUCAGCGCGGCAACACUUCCCGGUACCUCGAGCCCUGCGGCGGCGGGGACGGGGGCGAGGCUGCGGUAAUUCGUAGUGGUUGAGUCGAGCUACAUCCCCCUCCUACGAAGAAGAAGAACCCUACAGCACGGCAGUACCUUCCGAACUUCACCGCGAGUAUUGGGUCAUGCUACCCUUCUGAUUUACGGUCUCAGUUGUAAUAACUGUAAAAGGAACAAUCUUUGCCGUGACACCCCACAAAAAUUACUUAGACCUGGUACCUUACCUCAGAGUAGUCUGUAGUAGUGUAGUUGUCACCGUCCGACCUUCAUGAGGCUACAACUGGUUACCGGAACUCUACCACGCCGGUGAUCCCGCUCCUGCCACACCUGUUGCUUCGAUCCCGCCGCGCAGCCCUAACGGGCUCCACAGGAGCUCUGCUGCCGGUCGCUCAGCUCCUGCAAUACCUGUAGUCUAGAUCCCGUCCAGCAGCCCUGCCGUGGUCCAAAGGAGCUCUACCGUGGACGAUCCCGUGCAAGCACCGGACCACCGCCACAAAAAGAAAAAAAAGGGAAAAUCGACAACCACCGCCGCAACUAGAGCCUGCACAACAAAUUAAAGCACCCGAGGAUAGCAACGCAACAGAUCGUAGGACUCGCCCCUCAGACGGCCGUCUUGUAAACAAAACUCGGCAUCUAGACUAACAUCAUACCAGCUACAUUGCACCUGUCAACCUACCUUGAAUUGCCCAGACUAGCUUGCACCCCCAAUAGGACACACG
rnacentral:rRNA from 1 species